rnacentral:sRNA from 1 species
GGAGCCAUUACUGCAGGAAAAGGUCCCGGAGAGCUGAGCAGUCAAGAUGUGUGACUUCACCGAAGACCAGACCGCAGCAUGAUCAAAGUUGAAUGGGCAGCAGAGCUCUGAGGUAGGGUUUGGAUUAACCCUCAAAUCCUGUGUUGACAUUCAUCUGAAUCCUCAGAGUUCAAGGAGGCCUUCCAGCUGUUUGACCGAACAGAGAUGAAUGUGAAGGUGCUGGACUUUGAGCACUUUCUGCCCAUGCUGCAGACAGUGGCCAAGAACAAGGACCAGGGCACCUAUGAGGAUUAUGUCGAAGGACUUCGGGUGUUUGACAAGGAAGGAAAUGGCACCGUCAUGGGUGCUGAAAUCCGGCAUGUUCUUGUCACACUGGGUGAGAAGAUGACAGAGGAAGAAGUAGAGAUGCUGGUGGCAGGGCAUGAGGACAGCAAUGGUUGUAUCAACUAUGAAG